rfam:Canis lupus familiaris chromosome 1, whole genome shotgun sequence.
GGUUCCACGGUGUAGUGGUCAUCAGAUCUGCUUGACAUGCAGAAAAUCCUGAGUUAGACUCCCAGUGGAGCCA